rnacentral:tRNA from 1 species
AGGGCGGUAGCUCAAUUGGUAGAGCAGCGGUCUCCAAAACCGCGGGUUGGGGGUUCGAGUCCCUUCCGCCCUGCCA